rnacentral:misc_RNA from 1 species
GUGAGUCAUCGAAUCUUUGAACGCACAUUGCGCCCGUCAGUAUUCUGGCGGGCAUGCCUGUUCGAGCGUCAUUACGCCCCUCAAGUCCCCUGUGGACUUGGUGUUGGGGAUCGGCGAGGCUGGUUUUCCAGCACAGCCGUCCCUUAAAUUAAUUGGCGGUCUCGCCGUGGCCCUCCUCUGCGCAGUAGUAAAACACUCGCAACAGGAGCCCGGCGCGGUCCACUGCCGUAAAACCCCCCAACUUUUUAUAGUUGACCUCGAAUCAGGUAGGACUACCCGCUGAACUUAAGCAUAUCAAUA